AUUGAACGCUGGCGGCAGGCCUAACACAUGCAAGUCGCACGAGUGGCGGACGGGUGAGUAAUGUCUGGGAACCUGCCUGAUGGAGGGGGAUAACUACUGGAAACGGUAGCUAAUACCGCAUACCAUCAUAUGUGCCCAGAUGGGAUUGGCUAGUUGGUGGUGUAACGGGUCACCAAGGCGACGAUCCCUAGCUGGUCUGAGUGGAUGACCAGCCAGACUGGAACUGAGAAACGGUCCAGACGCCUACGGGGGGCAGCGGUGGGGAAUAUUGCACAAUGGGGGCAAGCGUGAUGCAGCCAUGCCGCGUGUAUGAAGAAGGCCUUCGGGUUGUAAAGUACUGUCAGCGGGGAGGCGGUACCCGCAGAAGAAGCACCGGCUAACUCCGUGCCAGCAGCCGCGGUAAUUC
rnacentral:rRNA from 1 species